AGUGGAUUUUUGGGUCUGGCAAUUAGCUUUACCUCUAUGUGGUUUCUUCAUCAAACAGGGGCUACCACGUACAGCCUUGUGGGAUCACUGAAUAAGAUUCCCCUGUCAAUUGCUGGAAUCCUUCUAUUCAAAGUACCUACUAGUUUGGAAAACUCUGCAAGCAUCUUUUUUGGUUUACUGGCGGGAGUAUUUUUUGCGAGAGCCAAAAUGCGGGAGAGAUCUUAGUCCAGAUUACCCUGACAUCUAUUAACUGCAGUAUCCUUGAUAAAAUGUGUCCACUUGGUUGAACUGGCUGACCAUUGUAUACUUCAUAGCAAUGGCGAAUCAGUUAAGAAGUUUUCAUUGACAAGGUAAACACAUGGAGAUUUUUCCAUCCGUUUGGCCUUAUGCUGUUAAAUGUUGAAAAUUCCAUGG
rnacentral:misc_RNA from 1 species